rnacentral:rRNA from 1 species
CCCUUAGAUGUUCUGGGCCGCACGCGUGCUACACUGAGUGGAUCAGCGGGUCAGGUUGCGCGAAAGCGUUUCCUAAUCUUUAAAUCCGCUCGUGAUGGGGAUUGACGGUUGCAAUUUUCUGUCAUGAACGAGGAAUACCUUGUAAGCGCGGGUCAUCAUCCCGCGCUGAAUACGGCCCUGCCCUUUGUACACACCGCCCGUCGCUCCUACCGAUUGAGUGGUCCGGUGAGGCUUUGGGAUCUGAGCGGAAAGAGCGUUUCGCUGUUUCUGCUCGGAAAACUCAGUCGAACCUUAUCAUUUAGAGGAAGGAGAAGUCGUAACA